CGAUAAAAAUCUGAUUACAAGAUGUAGUCAGAUUUUUUUUUUAGAAAAAUAU
rnacentral:ncRNA from 20 species